rnacentral:rRNA from 1 species
AUUCCAGCUCCAAUAGCGUAUAUUAAAGUUGCUGCAGUUAAAAAGCUCGUAGUUGGAUCUUGGGAGCGGGCGGGCGGUCCGCCGCGAGGCGAGCCACCGCCCGUCCCCGCCCCUUGCCUCUCGGCGCCCCCUCGAUGCUCUUAGCUGUGUGUCCCGCGGGGCCCGAAGCGUUUACUUUGAAAAAAUUAGAGUGUUCAAAGCAGGCCCGAGCCGCCUGGAUACCGCAGCUAGGAAUAAUGGAAUAGGACCGCGGUUCUAUUUUGUUGGUUUUCGGAACUGAGGCCAUGAUUAAGAGGGACGGCCGGGGGCAUUCGUAUUGCGCCGCUAGAGGUGAAAUUCUUGGACCGGCGCAAGACGGACCAGAGCGAAAGCAUUUGCCAAGAAUGUUUUCAUCA